GGUUAAGCGACUAAGCGUACACGGUGGAUGCCCUGGCAGUCAGAGGCGAUGAAGGACGUGCUAAUCUGCGAUAAGCGCCGGUAAGGUGAUAUGAACCGUUAUAACCGGCGAUUUCCGAAUGGGGAAACCCAGUGUGACUCGUCACACUAUCAUUAACUGAAUCCAUAGGUUAAUGAGGCGAACCGGGGGAACUGAAACAUCUAAGUACCCCGAGGAAAAGAAAUCAACCGAGAUUCCCCCAGUAGCGGCGAGCGAACGGGGAGGAGCCCAGAGCCUGAAUCAGCAUGUGUGUUAGUGGAAGCGUCUGGAAAGGCGCGCGAUACAGGGUGACAGCCCCGUACACAAAAGCGCAUAUGCUGUGAGCUCGAUGAGUAGGGCGGGACACGUGGUAUCCUGUCUGAAUAUGGGGGGACCAUCCUCCAAGGCUAAAUACUCCUGACUGACCGAUAGUGAACCAGUACCGUGAGGGAAAGGCGAAAAGAACCCCGGCGAGGGGAGUGAAAAAGAACCUGAAACCGUGUACGUACAAGCAGUGGGAGCCCCACCACUAAGCCAGUGGUGAACUCCACAUACGCAUCCUUUGCUGAGGAUACGGUUAACGGAGCGAAAGCGACGUUCAACCGCAAAAGAAGCAGAGGGGGCUUAGUGGUGGGGUGACUGCGUACCUUUUGUAUAAUGGGUCAGCGACUUAUAUUCUGUAGCAAGGUUAACCGAAUAGGGGAGCCGGAGGGAAACCGAGUCUUAACCGGGCGUUAAGUUGCAGGGUAUAGACCCGAAACCCGGUGAUCUAGCCAUGGGCAGGUUGAAGGUUGGGUAACACUAACUGGAGGACCGAACCGACUAAUGUUGAAAAAUUAGCGGAUGACCUGUGGCUGGGGGUGAAAGGCCAAUCAAACCGGGAGAUAGCUGGUUCUCCCCGAAAGCUAUUUAGGUAGCGCCUCGUGAACUCAUCUCCGGGGGUAGAGCACUGUUUCGGCUAGGGGGCCAUCCCGGCUUACCAACCCGAUGCAAACUGCGAAUACCGGAGAAUGUUAUCACGGGAGACACACGGCGGGUGCUAACGUCCGUC
rnacentral:rRNA from 1 species